GUGUCAGCAGCCGCGCGGUAAUACGAAGGGACCUAGCGUAGUUCGGAAUUACUGGGCUUAAAGAGCACGUAGGUGGUUAGAAAAGUUAGUGGUGAAAUCCCAAGGCUUAACCUUGGAACUGCCACUAAAACUUUUUAACUAGAGUAUGAUAGAGGUAAGCGGAAUUUCUAGUGUAGAGGUGAAAUUCGUAGAUAUUAGAAAGAACACCAAUUGCGAAGGCAGCUUUCUGGAUCAUUACUGACACUGAGGUGCGAAAGCAUGGGUAGCGAAGAGGAUUAGAUACCCUCGUAGUCCAUGCUGUAAACGAUGUGUGCUAGACGUUGGAAAUUUUAUUUUCAGUGUCGCAGCAAAAGCGUUAAGCACACCGCCUGGGGAGUACGACCGCAAGGUUAAAACUCAAAUGAAUUGACGGGGACCCGCACAAGUAGUGGAGCAUGUGGUUUAAUUCGAAGAUACGCGCAGAACCUUACCAACACUUGACAUGUUUGUCGCGACUCUAAGAGAUUAGAGUCUUCGGUUCGGCCGGACAAAACACAGGUGCUGCAUGGCUGUCGUCAGCUCGUGUCGUGAGAUGUUGGGUUAAGUCCCGCAACGAGCGCAACCCUUACUUUUAGUUGCUACCAUUCAGUUGGGCACUCUAAAAGAACUGCCAGUGAUAAGCUGGAGGAAGGUGGGGAUGACGUCAAGUCCUCAUGGCCCUUACGUGUUGGGCUACACACGUGCUACAAUGGUACUUACAGUGAGAAGCGAAGAGGCGACUCUAAGCCAAUCCCAAAAAGGUACCUCAGUUCGGAUUGUACUCUGCAACUCGAGUACAUGAAGCUGGAAUUACUAGUAAUGGCACAUCAGCUACGGUGCCGUGAAUACGUUCCCGGGUCUUGCACACACCGCCCGUCAAAUCCAUAU
rnacentral:rRNA from 1 species